UCAUCCAUGACGUCAUCUUUGUGCAACAUGGCGGCAAACACAAAAGUUCUACGCGCUGAGUAGUCUGCUGCGGCGUUCGACUCUUCGUGAGCAGUGUGCCGGGAUUUUCGUUUAUGAAUAGAAAUCUCAGGGAUCAAACUCAAAGUUUCACUACCAAGUCAAGUGUCAGUGACGUCACGUUCCUGGUGAUAUUAUUAUGGGCCUGCUACGAUUACAUUUCAGAUAUUAACCAUGGCAGGAAGAGAGUUUGUUGUUUUAUACACACAUCAGAAGAGGAAGAAAGCCAAGGUUUGGCAAGAUGGUGUCCUCAAGAUCAAUGACCAAGGAACCAAAGCUGAUCUUAUCGGAGCAGGAAACAAAAGGUUGGAUCAAGUUCAUAUCAAAGCAAACCAGGCUGCCAUUGGAGAAGAGCUAGAAAGUGAGAAAUAUUUGAUCACAAUCGAAGAAAAUGUAUC